rnacentral:rRNA from 1 species
AGUGAACGCUGGCGGUAGGCCUAACACAUGCAAGUCGAACGGCAGCACAGUAAGAGCUUGCUCUUACGGGUGGCGAGUGGCGGACGGGUGAGGAAUACAUCGGAAUCUACUUUUUCGUGGGGGAUAACGUAGGGAAACUUACGCUAAUACCGCAUACGACCUACGGGUGAAAGCAGGGGAUCUUCGGACCUUGCGCGAUUGAAUGAGCCGAUGUCGGAUUAGCUAGUUGGCGGGGUAAAGGCCCACCAAGGCGACGAUCCGUAGCUGGUCUGAGAGGAUGAUCAGCCACACUGGAACUGAGACACGGUCCAGACUCCUACGGGAGGCAGCAGUGGGGAAUAUUGGGCAAUGGGCGCAAGCCUGAUCCAGCCAUACCGCGUGGGUGAAGAAGGCCUUCGGGUUGUAAAGCCCUUUUGUUGGGAAAGAAAAGCAGCAGGUUAAUACCCCGCUAUUCUGACGGUACCCAAAGAAUAAGCACCGGCUAACUUCGUG